AUGCCUGAGUAGGACGAAGCCAGGAGAAAUCCUGGUGGAAGUCCGCAGCGGUUUUGACGUGCAAAUCAAUCGUAAGACUUGGGUAUAGGGGCGAAAGACUAAUCGAACCGUCUAGUUGCUGGUUCCCUCCGAAGUUUCCCUCAGGAAAGCUGGCGUGUUCUACUUUUACCCGGUAAAGCCAAUGACUGGAGGGAUCAGAGUUGUAAUAUCUUUGACCUACUUUCAAACUUAAAACGGAUAAGAUACGGUCUGCUGCUUUAGCGAGCGACCGUUGCAAAUUUCACGCGCCAAGUGGGCCAUUUUUGGUAAGCAGAUCGGGCGCUGUGGGAUGAACUGAACGGCGAGCUAUGGCGCCCGACACACUUCUCAGAAGACACCAUGAAAGGUGUUAGUUGAUAAUGACAGCAGGACGGUGGCCAUGGAAGUCGGUAUCCGCUAAGGAGUGUGUAACGACUCACCUGCCGAAUCAACUAGCCCUGAAAAUGGAUGGCGCUAUAGACGUGGGCCUAUGCUCGGCCAUUGAGGUGUCAUGAUGCGUGCGUGCAAGUGUGCGCGCGUUGCAUGUGUGAAAGGCUCUCGAUGAGUAGGAGGGCGAUGGCGUUGACUCAGAAGCGUGCGGUGUGAACCGGCGUGGAGUUGGCGGUCUUGCAGAUCUUAGUGGCAGUAGCGAGUAUUCAAGAUAAACGUUUGAAGGCUGAAGUGGAGAAGGGCUCCAUGUGAACCUCGUUUGAACAUGGCUCAGCCGAUCCUAAGAGUGUGCGAGAUUUUGUGAAAUAAUGUGGGACGUUUUGUACGUCCAUGCGAUCGAAAGGGAAUCGGGCUAAGCUUCCCGAGCCAGGAGACGGAUCAUGAUGGCUUUUUUACGAAAAAAAGUGACAGAAGCGGUGACGCUCGCAAACCCAGAGAGUGCCAUGCGAUGCCCGGGGGAGAGUUCUCUCUUCUUUGUUAGGCAAGCUCACCCUGAAAACGCAUUUUUCGGAGACAGGGUUUAACUGCCGUAUUGCGGAGUGACUUUUGCGCCGCACCGUGUGCAUUGUGUGGCCCGUGAAAAUCUGGGGGCGCAGUUAUUUGUCUUGUUCCUGAUCGUACCCAGUUCCGCAUCAGGUCUCCAAGGUCUAUAGCCUCUAGUUUAUGGGAUAAAGUAGGCAAGGGAAGUCGGCAAGUCAGAUCUGUACCCUUGGAAAAAGGAUUGGCUCUGAAGGCUGAGUUGAUCGGGGCUGUUGCCGAAAGGGGCGGAUUUGUCUGGGGGUUGGUCUCAGGGGCUUGCCUCGGAGGAGGUCGGCUCCAGAGCAGGCUCCCGCUUAUUUCGUCUUACGGACGGCUCCAGCUUGUCGGUGCAUGGCGCUAUCAACGGUGCGGUGUACGCAAAUCGGUCAACGGCGAACAGCCGCAUCAGAACUGGUACGGACAAGGGGAAUCCGACUGUCUAAUUAAAACAGAGCAUUGCGAUAGCCGUCACCGGUUUUGACGCAAUGUGAUUUCUGCCCAGUGCUCAGACUGUUAACGUGGCGAGAUCUAAAUAAGCGCGGGUAAACGGCGG
rnacentral:rRNA from 1 species